GAUGAACGCUGGCGGCGUGCCUAAUACAUGCAAGUCGAGCGAACGGACGAGAAGCUUGCUUCUCUGAUGUUAGCGGCGGACGGGUGAGUAACACGUGGAUAACCUACCUAUAAGACUGGGAUAACUUCGGGAAACCGGAGCUAAUACCGGAUGAUAUUUUGAACCGCAUGGUUCAAAAGUGAAAGACGGUCUUGCUGUCACUUAUAGAUGGAUCCGCGCUGCAUUAGCUAGUUGGUAAGGUAACGGCUUACCAAGGCAACGAUGCAUAGCCGACCUGAGAGGGUGAGCGGCCACACUGGAACUGAGACACGGUCCAGACUCCUACGGGAGGCAGCAGUAGGGAAUCUUCCGCAAUGGGCGAAAGCCUGACGGAGCAACGCCGCGUGAGUGAUGAAGGUCUUCGGAUCGUAAAACUCUGUUAUUAGGGAAGAACAUAUGUGUAAGUAACUGGGCACAUCUUGACGGUACCUAAUCAGAAGGCCACGGCUAACUACG
rnacentral:rRNA from 1 species